AAUGCUGAGCCAGGAGGGGCAUCUAUGGAUGGAGCUAUGAGAAAACCAUUUUUCUGGUUUGGGACCUCACCCACCAAGAUUCCGUUAGCUGCCUUUGUUGUCCAAGAAUUUGAGAGGGGAAUCCUUCCAGGAGGUAGGAGGGGUGAUUAAAACGAAGGAGAGAAUAAAGCUUUUAGACAUGGUCCAUCCCAGCCAAGAACCGCCUCGGAGGUUCACAAGUGCUCACAGGACCGUCAAAGGGAAGCCAGCGCCUGUAACUCCGUUUGUUGACUCGGUGAACUCCUCCAUCUCAGGGUUAUUGCCAUUGAAAACAUCUCCUCUAUCUGGAAUCUUUUCUACACCGAGUGCACAAUUACUUCAUUCAUCUCCUCAGAGGAAUCUGUCACCAAAUCCACAAACUGCCUCCGCCAGCAGGCAGGGCAGGAUACCAACUUGCCCCAGCCUCCGCCCACUGGGAUGAGCCAAGGAUGCGGUUCCUGUGUUAAUAAAGCCCCAGAAUCUCUCCAAUGGUGUGGGUGGCAUCCUCUGCCUCCCCCCAACCUGAUCGCAGCCUCCCCCUCCCUUACCCUCAGAAAGAAGCAAGGCCAGAAGAGAGGGAUGGAAGCAGGCAUUUCUAUCUGAAUCAAUGUUUGGGGAGAUUCACAUAAACAUACAACAGGUUCUUACACCCAAGAAAGGAAAACUAACCUGAUAGUGGGCCUUCCAUGUGCCAGGGGUAUGUUGUGUUGCACAUUUGAUCUUCACAACAACCCACUGAGGUUGGUCAUUUACGAAGGAAUCACUGUGACCAGAGUAGGACUUGAAAGCAAGUCCACUAGCUGAUGGCAAGAACGUGGGGGAAACAACUAAGAAUCUGAGGGUGUGUCGCCUGCAUCUACUGGGAGGAGUCAUGAUACCCUACCCACCUACCUCCCAGACCUGAGGAGAGGGAAGUCAAGUGCAGCAAGUCUGAGUGCUUGGUAACCUGGAGAGCACUUUCCAAAUGUUAAUGGGCUGUGACCCUCAAGGGUAGCAGAUCUUCUACUUCAUCUUUGUGUCCCCAGCACCCAGAUCAGUGGCUGGGACAUCAUCAGCCCUCUAAGGAUGUGGGAGUGGAAUGAAGCAGGGCUGUACCACGUCCCAUGGAGGCCAGAAGGAGACCUCCCAUGGUCUGGAUGGGGUAGGGGCUGGGAGGAGUGGCAAGGAAACCAAGCAUCUCGGAACAGACCACCCUGAGCAACGAAUGAGCACAGAGUUCUGGGAGUGGGGAGUGGGGAGUGGAGAAGGGGGCCCUCUCCCCAAGGCUAUUCAGAUCAGCCAAUUCACAAAAUCUUGCAGGAAGAGCCUUGUGACCCCCUCACAAGAGGCAUUUGCGGGCCUGUCUCCUACCACAGCGUCCAGCGCCUGGCCAGGACUCCACAGACACAGCUUCCUGUGCCUUGGCCUUUCACAAAGUCAGCUUCUAGCAUCUGAGCUGACUCCUCCCGAAACCCCGGGCUCCACUGACGGGCUUCUGGAACCUGCUCAGACUGCUACCAAGUCAGAUAACAGCCUGGACAGGAGGAGGGCUGCAACACCCAGCCUGGCUAACUGGAAAGCUGAGGAGACUAGAAGUUCAGGGAGGGAUUGAGAGCAGGUGGAGAGAGAAAAAGAGCGGAAGGAAGAGACAUGGCUGACCUCCUGAACAUCUUCUGUGCCAGCUCAGAGAAGGCAGUUUUUGCUCCUGACUCCAAGACUCAUUUGUAUUCAGCCAUUGAAUUCUCUAAUUAUCUGCCCCUCCGUGGGGGACAUCUCUAGUCAGAGGCUGGAUCCCAGGUAAUAAAGGUCAUUUAGAAGCAGUUGUUGCUAGUCAGAGGGGUAAAGGACUGAAAUCUGACCAACCAGAAGAAAAGAAAGACUGGAAUUCCUUGUUCCUAGCUCUGUCUCUAUUUUAUUUCUCAUACACUUGACUCACUCUGCUUCCCACCCCCUAGUUUUCUCAUAGAGACCCAAGCUGGUAGAAUCUAAGACCCUGAAGACGAGCAUUUCCUUCACUGAUGAAUGCCCGCUCCAAAGAGCUCCAGCCUGAGGGUGGCCCUGUCUAUCAGCUGAUCCCCUGCCCAUUCUUGUCUCCCCGGACUCUAGCCCUCAUAAGCAGGGUCUCAAAGACAUGCCUCUGGCAGGUGAGUCAUGGGACCAGAACCUUGAGAGAGAACCUGCAGAGUCAGCCACUAACACAAUUGCAAAAUAAAAAGGAAUUCCCAUAAACCUGCUGCUUCCCUUGCAUUCUUUAAGCUCAGCAGGUUGCACCACCUUCCACCACUUUUCCAGGAACUAAAAAUCAUCCUUGACAUCCAUCCAAUCUGCCACUUUCUAUUUAUCUCCCAAAUUUAUCUCUGCAAUCUCAAUAGUCCCACUAUCACUCUUUCCAAAUAAGGUCACAUUCUGAAGUGCUGGGGUUAGGACUUCCACAUAUGAAUUUUAAGAAACAGAAUAUUUACUUAAAAGGUAAAUUGUUUGCUCUCCAUUUUCUCUGUUGUCCCCUUCCUCUGGGCUGGAACAGAGACAUAGAGCUGAGCCACCUUUGGCAAUAUAGAUGAAGACCUUAGGAGAUGGCAGAGACCCAAAAUGCUAGGAGCUGCCAAGCAUUCAUUUCCAGGCUAUGGAUGAGAAAUACAUUUCCAUCUUACUUAAGCAACUGUAUUUGGGUAGGUUUUUAUUAUAGGAACUUACCUUUUACCCUAACAAAUACCACCUCACUUUAUAAGAAUCUUAACUUUAAUACCAAAACCCAAUAAGCACAGAAGAAAAAUUGUAGUACAACAAUACCAAUUAUAAUCAUAGAUACAGAACUUCUAAAUAAAACACUAGCAAAUUAAAUUCAGGGAAAGAGAGAGAGAGAGAGAGAGAGAGAGAGAGAGA